GAUGAAGAACGUAGUGAAAUGCGAUAAGUAGUGUGAAUUGCAGAAUUCAGUGAAUCAUCGAAUCUUUGAACGCACAUUGCGCCCCUUGGUAUCCCGAGGGGCAUGCCUGUUCGAGCGUCAUUUCACCACUCAAGCCUGGCUUGGUGUUGGGCGACGUCCCCUUUGGGGACGCGCCUCGAAACGCUCGGCGGCGUGGCACCGGCUUUAAGCGUAGCAGAAUCUUUCGCUUUGGAAGUCGGGGCCCCGUCUGCCGGAAGGCCUACUCGCAAGGUUGACCUCGGAUCAGGCAGGGAUACCCGCUGAACUUAAGCAUAUCAAUAAGCGGAGGA
rnacentral:misc_RNA from 1 species